AUAACAGAAUGUAAAAUUAUAAAAAGGAUACUAAUCAUUUUUGUAAGACUUUUAGAGAUAUAAAUUACUGUACUUUUGAUGAUUCUUCAGCUACUUCAUCACCAACAUCACAUUGGGUGUUUUCAUCAUCACCCGGAUAGCUCCCAUACUGUGUGUUUGGCUCUCUGAUUGAAUCUUCAAAUGAUUCAUUGUCAUUCUGCAACAAAAUAAAAACAAUAAGUCAAUCAUUAAUAUAAUUAGUAGACCUUUAAAAUAGCUUGUAAAGAUUUUCAAUUACCUCUGCUUUUCUUUCUAGUCCUCCUUCUUCUUCAGCCUGCGAAAAAAAAGAGUACAUUGUAAAGGUUUACUACGUAUUUUACCUUUAAAAUACAUUGUAAAACCUUUCCUUUCAAAUAGCUUUUAAAGAAACAUUUACAAUUACCUCUGGUUGUCUUUCUACUCCUCAUCUUCUUGUUUUCUUUCUUCAUCUUCCUCAGAUCUCUGAUUAUUCUUUUCCUCCAUUCUAAUGUCCAAAAUCCUCUCAAUCAGCUCGACUCUCUUGUUAAGAUCUUCAAGGAUUGUCAAAAUCCUGUCAAGCUUCUCGCUAUUAGAUAUUUUGUUAUUGAUUUUGUUUUGACCUACUUCUUCAAGGGCAGCACAAACAUCAACACAUCUUGUAUUCCAUUCAGUUUUCUUCAAUCUGUAGCCCAUCUUAACAAGUUCCAAAACCUGUUGGAAUUCUGUGUCGUUUGUGUGGAAAUCAGGAACUAAAGACUUGAAGUCUUCUGGGUUUCCAAUAAUUGUAUUCACCUCAAUCUGCGAAGAUACAAUAACAUUACAAAUCUUGAGAAAGCAGAACUUCAAAUCUCAAAACCAUUUAAAGAAUUCUGUAAAUAGACAAAAGCUUACCUCAUAAACAUCAUUUACAAGGUUUACGAUCUUGAAAAACUCUGGAGUAGUAGUGCUUUUCCACUUCAAUAUCAAUGGAUAUUCAGAUUGGAAUUCCUUAUCUUUAACUCCAAAUGCUGCACCAAAUGCUGGAACUGCGCUCAACACCCAUAUUGUUAGCGCGAGUCCAAAUCCUCUCAAAUCAUAUUUCUCUUUUGCCCAAGUUUUCUCGUCCAUUCUCAGAAUUGAAUUUGAUAGAACACUGAAUGCUUCUUUACCCCACGGUUGGGCUGUGUACAUCUCAAAAUCAGAAGCAUGCCGCAAUCUUGGCAAAGGUAUCUUCUCUUUUCCAUAUGGUGUCAAGAGAAUUCCUUCAGUCAACACUACUGCAGCAAGACACAACUUUUCUUCAUCUUCAACAGCAGGUUCACCUUCCUUAGGUUUUAAAAACAAUCGAUCUUCGAGAUCACCAAGAGUAUAA
rnacentral:sRNA from 1 species